rnacentral:lncRNA from 1 species
GACUAUGUGUCUGAUAUUAUCAGGUACAUAUAUGAAUGUCUUAUAUGUAUCUGAUAAUAUGAGAACGUUAGUGUCUUUGUUUAUAUUUCAGAAUUUUCUAUGAUACAAAGUUUAAGAAUCAGGAAAAAUAUCGUAAGAAGGUAAAGAAAAAUUUCAAACUGGGAGAAGAUAUUUAUAUAGAACACAUAUAGUUUGCAGAUAAUUCAUAUACAGAAUAUCUACUGGGCUCCUUGUAAGAAAACUACAAAGAAACACAUUGGAAAAUGAGCAAAAGACCGAAGUCUAGUGAGAGAAAAGGAAACGCAUGCUUUUUUAUGCACUGUAUGAGAUAUUUUUGCUCAUUGAUAUGUUUAUGCUCAUAAUAUAUUUAUGCUCAUUACUAACGAAGGAAAUAAGAUGAGACACAACUUGAGACUCACAAGAUGGGGGAACGUCUUCGGUCACAGUCUUGACUAAAAUGAAAACACACACCGCCAGUCUAGGAGGUGAAUUUAUAGAAUCAUGUGGAAAAAAAAGUGGCAUAAACAAAUAUAAAUAAACACAGGCAUGAUUUAGGAAUGAGCAGAUGGUCUCAGUGGUAGGCACUCUAGAGAAGUUAUCACCCGUGACCAGGAGAUGUCCAGAGUGUCCAAAGGACCCUUGUCUCCAGGUUCAUGGUCUAAAAGAAUAAACUCAGGUACUUAUAAAGGUAAGGGCAAGGUUGAGGGAAACCAACACAUUUUGUGAAGCCCCUUUCCUUCCAUAGACUUGGAGAGGUGGGAGGUGAAAGAAGAGAGAGCCAUUAUGAAAACCUUGUAGGAGAAGGUGACCUAACUAAAAUCAUUCCCACCCAAAGCAUGAACUCCCAGUCUAAUAGAGUCUUACGGAGAGGAGGAAGCACCUCGCUCUCCUCUGGUACAUUCUAAGUUCAUCUCUCUGGUGUCCCUUUCUGAUGGAUCUCAACAAGAAACCAUAUAAAAGGGGAUUUUAUCAUGCCACCUACAGCAUAUGUCUCACCAAAAGGCAUAUGCAUAUGGCAGCCACCGUUACUUGAAGCCACUGAGUGUUUGAAAUGUGUCUGGUGUGAGUGGAGGUGUGCGAUGUGUUCAGUAGACAUUAGAUUCCAAAGAAUUACGAGGACAAACAAAAUGAACAUGAAAUAUCUUAGCUACUUAGUUAGUCGCAGUAAUUGGGACUAACGAUGAUUUUCUUCGCAAAUUUUGUUGGUGAUCCAUUGGGUUAAAUGAAAAUAUAUUAAAAUGAAUUUCUCUAUUUGUUUAAAAAAACAGAAGUAAAGGAGACCAGGGUAACAUGUUCUGUAUCUUGACUGUAGUACUCUGUAUCAACAUAUAUGUAUGUUGUCAUUUUUUUUAUAUUUGUGUGAUCAAAAUUCAUAUAACUGUAAACUGAAUAGGGAAAAUUGUACCAUAUAUGAAUUCUAUUUCAAGAAACGUG